rnacentral:piRNA from 1 species
UGACGAGAGCCAAGGGCAAGGAUGGAC